AGUGAACGCUGGCGGUAGGCCUAACACAUGCAAGUCGAACGGCAGCACAGGAGAGCUUGCUCUCUGGGUGGCGAGUGGCGGACGGGUGAGGAAUACAUCGGAAUCUACUCUGUCGUGGGGGAUAACGUAGGGAAACUUACGCUAAUACCGCAUACGACCUACGGAUGAAAGCAGGGGACCUUCGGGCCUUGCGCGAUUGAAUGAGCCGAUGUCGGAUUAGCUAGUUGGCGGGGGAAAGGCCCACCCAGGCGACGAUCCGUAGCUGGUCUGAGAGGAUGAUCAGCCAAACUGGAACUGAGAAACGGUCCAGACUCCUACGGGAGGCAGCAGUGGGGAAUAUUGGACAAUGGGCGCAAGCCUGAUCCAGCCAUACCGCGUGGGUGAAGAAGGCCUUCGGGUUGUAAAGCCCUUUUGUUGGGAAAGAAAUCCAGCUGGCUAAUACCCGGUUGGGAUGACGGUACCCAAAGAAUAAGCACCGGCUAACUUCGUGCCAGCCGCCGCGGUAA
rnacentral:rRNA from 1 species